rnacentral:lncRNA from 1 species
AGACUUCCACCACUAUUGUUUCCACCAUUGUUAUCACCAUCAUCACCAUACACCAUUCAUUCGCCACACAUGCACAUCUUGAUUUGGCUUAUUGAUUUGUUUCUUUGGAUCUAUGGUUUGACUAUGCAAUAAAUGUCUUAUAAGUAUGUAUACUUUAUCUCCCACCUAUGAACUCCAGAUAUUAAAGCCUUAUUAGAGUAGGGUGAGAGAGAAGGCAAUGUCACUAUGCCUCAUACCACAAAUACUACAUAUUUUGAGAGAAGGCAUAUACCAUCACUGCCUUGGUAAGGAUCCAAAAAUACCACAAAAGAGAGAUCUGAAAGAAUCAUACAAGGAAUUUCUGAGUUUUAUUUGAAAAUCUGCAAAAACCCCAGAGUUAUAGCUGAUCAAGAAUAAGAGACAUGGCACUUGGCUAGACUGUUCUAUCUUUUAACCACUCAAGACAGAAGUGACAGUUACAAGUCCC